rnacentral:misc_RNA from 1 species
UCGAGUUAGGGUCCUCGUGGCCCGACCUCCAACCCUUUGUCUACUCAACCACGUUGCUUCGGUGGGCCCGCGAGAGCCGCCGGGGGACCCUCGGGAUCCCUGGCCAGCGCCCACCGGUAGCCCCCUCAAAAUUCUUGAUUAACUGUGUCCUGUCUAAGUUAAAAUUAAAUAAAGCAAA